rnacentral:rRNA from 1 species
UGGGGAAUAUUGCGCAAUGGGGGAAACCCUGACGCAGCAACGCCGCGUGCGGGAUGAAGGCUUUCGGGUUGUAAACCGCUUUCAGCAGGGAAGAUAAUGACGGUACCUGCAGAAGAAGCCCCGGCUAACUACGUGCCAGCAGCCGCGGUAAUACGUAGGGGGCAAGCGUUAUCCGGAUUCAUUGGGCGUAAAGCGCGCGCAGGCGGGCCGCUAAGCGGGACCUCUAAUCUUGGGGCUCAACCUCAAGCCGGGUCCCGAACUGGCAGCCUCGAGUGCGGUAGGGGUAAGCGGAAUUCCCGGUGU